rnacentral:lncRNA from 1 species
CUGUGCUUGCCACUGAAUUUGAGAGAAGUCUCCAAAUUAUUGAAUCAGAGGCUUCCCCUUCCCUCAGAAUCCCUCAUUUUCCAAUGAUAAAAAGUCUACCAAUUGUUCAAACCAAACAUUAAAAAUUUGCUUGGAUUUUUAUGGAUCAUUUGCUAUUUUUUUCUAAAUGCUCCAGCAAAUCUGUUAAAGACUUAUUCAUCUUUUUUCCAUAUGCUCAGACAACUCAAAUGAUUUCUAUCAUUUCAUUUUUUCCCCUGGACGUCUUCCUCCUGCAACUCUCUG